GCGCCUUUUUUUUUUUUUUGGGUCUUAAUCAUGUGGACAUCAUUGGGAAUGGGGGGAACUAAGUGACUGUAUGGUGGCUGCUUUGUAAGUUUCAAAGCAACAACAGCAGCUGUGCCUGAGCCCGUGCAUGCCUUGGGGCCAGUCACAGCACAGUUCCUGAGAAGGUGGAGCCCUCAGCUUCUCCCUGAAUAACUGGGAGAUGAAACAGGAAGCUCUGUGACACACUUGAUCGAAAAUGACACAGAUCGAAAAAUCAGGAUUUGACCCCCACCUCCAGCACCUUUACCUGCUGCCAGCAGAUCACAGCUGGAAAGCAGGCGAAGGGUUUGCCCUGGGACCAAAUUCUAACCACCAUGGAUUCUUGAGGGCCUCUGCACUCACUGGUGAUGUGUCUGCGAUAUUUUGGUCACUGUCAACUCUGGUCAGUUUCCUAUUUAUCUGGUCAGUGUCUUGUGUCUUACUCCUUUCUCCUUCAUUAAAAGCAAAACUAAAGAAAACUGAA